rnacentral:lncRNA from 1 species
GUGAAUCCAAGCCUUUUCCUUGCACGGGAAGUCCAGCCGCCUCUUAUAUACCUAAGGGGUGACGGCCGAUUGAACAACACACAAUCGAUCAAUCAAUUUACCACUUUUUAUCUUUUAUCUUUUCUCCUUAACCCUAGUUCUUCUUCUUCCUCGUUCUUCGUUCGUUCUUCUUCAUUGCAGGGCGGCGAACCUCGAGGCCCUAGGGGCGAUCAAGUCGACCUAGGGCAGUCCAUAGCCGCCGCGCGCCCAGACGGGGUCCCUCCUGGGCGUGUGGGGUUUCGGGUCCUCAAAAGCACCCGCCGGAUUGCCUGCGUACCGCGCUUCCGGCCGGGUCUCCUUCGACGUGAGCUGCGGUGCAUCACCCUCGGUGUUGGAGGUACACGGUGACGUGUUCGUGUGCGAACACACUUUUUGGCGACUCCGCUGGGGACGAAGCUUUGAACGGUCUCCGGCUCGUUCUUGCUACGAAGAGAUCGUCAUCUAGGGUUUGCAGUCUACAAAGGUAAUAUGAAUAUCCAAUCCCUUUAUGUAGAUGCAAAUAAUUCAUAUGGUGUUACUAGAUCAUUCAAUGAGUAUACUCUGUCGGUCAACCCUAGUUUGUUCAAUCAUGCAACUAAUUACGUGCAAGGGCCGAUUCAAAGUAAUUUGCAUGCUUUAAGUUCUUAUGAUACUAGUAACCUACACCAUAUGUAUCCCAACUCUCAUGCAUCGGCAACCCCACAAAUUGUUAUGCCGAUGAACAACAUGGUGAGUUCAGUUAAUAAAUUUGAAACACCUCAUGUUAGAAUUUCCAAUGCCAUGCAAGAAAGUGUUUCACCCUUUUAUUCAUCGGCAAGUAAUGUGCAAUAUACUAAUCCAACCAUGCCGAUGAACGAGAGAAUUGGCCAUGCUGCUACUAGUUAUUCGGCCAGUUACUCUCAAACGUCAUAUGCUACACCUCAUGUUAGUAAUUCUUCGGCACCAUACACAACUGUAGAUGCUCAUAAUUCGGCUUCACACCUUCCUGGUUAUAGCCGAAUGAAUGUAAAUUUUACAGGAGCGGUUGUGCCCAAUAUUGUAGAAGAUGAGGUAGUGGUGGCUGCAUUGAAGAGUUUAGCCCAAAAUAAGAGAAUUAGUGCUCUUUGCCUUGAACAACAUGAAAAGGGGCUAUUUCCUGAUUAUGCCGCAAUAAAAGCUAGAGUUUUGCAAGAAGAUGAAUUUUUGCCAAUUGAUAAAAUUGGCGAGCAAAAGUAUGGUCUUACAACAAUGCAUAUGCCUUCACCUAGUACUACAUCAUAUUAUACACCCCCUACACAAUUGGAAAAUUUUGGCAACACCCAUGUGUCAUUGCCGAAAGAAUCUAAAAGCAUUGGGGGGCAAUCAUAUCCGAAGUGGGCUGAAAUUGAGAAAAAGCUUAAAGCUAAUUUUGCCGCUCGCCGUCAGAAACAAAUAGAAAAAGAAUUGGCUCAGAUAAAAGAAGCAUUGCCAAUUGGUAGUAUCAAUGAAAAGAAGGAUAAUUCGGAACAUGAAAGUGCUUCGGUUGAAAAAGCUGAAUCAAGUAGUAUAUGUUCUGAAUCCAUCAAAUCCAAUGAGGCAAGCAUUAUCGAGAAAGGGCAUGGCAAGCAUAGGAAAACAACGGUGCUUGAUUUUUCUGAAGUCAAUGGAACCUACUUCCUGCCCUAUGAGUUCCAUGCCGUAGAAAUUGACAAGCUUCAAAGACAAGAACAAGUAGCCGAACAAAGUUCGGCCGACAAAAAUCUCUAAAGCAAUGAUGCACGGAUUCAAGAAAAAGAUGAUGACAAGGUGUUGGGAAGCCAUCCAAAGACGGAGCAAGAUGUUCUUCAAAUGGCACCACCAUCAUGCUCUCCCAACAUAUUUGAAGAGGUAUGCAUAGCGAGUAAUUUACCUAUUUUCAGAUUUGGUCACAACUUCAUUAUUGAUGCAUCUAUAAGAAAUAUUCUCAUAAGUAAUUUUGAAAGACCAAUGAGGAAGGGUAAUUUACUUGUUAACACUAAAAUUGUUAUGGAACAUAUCGGUCAACCCAUUGCACCAUUUUUAAAGAUCGAUAAUGACUUAUUGUUACAACCAAAGCUUUCCCCAUUGCUUUGUCUAAAGUUCAUAUCUAGUUGGGUAGCUUUGCUUAUUUCGUACUUGGCUUACGCAUGGUCUCAAUUGAGACGUGUAUGUUCUAACUACUUUGAUUUCAGAAAUUUAAAGCCAAGGUUAAAAUCUUUUGGGAAAACCGAUGCUAGUAUAGUUUCUUAUUUAAGGACAUCGGAAAAAGUAUGCGAAAGAGAAUUCAUAGCCGAAUGGGAAGAUGUCAAAUCUGAACCAUUCAUUUGCUUAAUUUCAAAGCCGUUCUCACAACAAGAUCGGCUAGAAAACGAAAGGUAUACCUUCGAUUCAAACAUGUGUGAUCAAAUCUUUGAUUUGUUGUUGAAAAAUAAUUACAUUAGAAUUCUUGAUCACCAUGUCAAGCCAUCUGUCCAAGGACGAAUGUAUUGUAAGUUGCAUGAUUCGUCCAAGCAUAAUUUUGAGGACUGCCACAUGUUUCGUCAAAUAGUUCAAUCGGCCAUUGAUAAAGGACGAUUGAAAUUUGUUGAGACACCAAGAGAUGACCAAUCUAUUCCGAUUGGUCCCAAUGGCAGAAAGUUUUUGCAUCGGCUGCUUCAAGCCGAUCCAUUUAAAGAGAAGGUAAAAACUGUAGGUGAUGGGAUCAAGCUUUCAAGUAAAGAAGAUGUUAAAGAGCAUAAUGAACAUAAUCUUGAGGGUGAAAAUUCCAUCGAAGCUACAAUGGAGAUGCCAAGGACUGGGGGGCAGCAAGCAAAUCCAAUGAUCAAUGAAAGCAAACCGAAAGAAAACAAAGGCGGAAAUAAGCGCAAGUGUAAGAGAUCAAAAAUCACCUUCACUGAACUAUUGGAUAAAUAUCGAAAGAAGAGUGAAGAGAAGAAUGCUUAUCAGCCAAAUCAUGCAAAGAAACCAAGAUCACCCCCAAGGCGCAAAUAUGAGGAUUGGUAUUGGCAAAGUGAGAAUUUUAAUGCAACAUAUUCAUAUCCUUAUUUUGGGCCGCCAAUGCCCAUGCCGUGGAUGCCUCCCUAUGCUCAUAUAGAUACAUAUUCAUCAUGGGACAGGUAUGAUACAAGGGCACAUUCUCCAUCUUAUUCUAGACCAUCUCACCAAUACUAUGCAGCUCCAAGAAGAUCAACACUUGAACAAUCACGCGUCAAAGACCGUUUCAAUCAUAAGGAAUCGGUCUAGAGCUCAAGGAAGAAGAAAGAGAUGGUAAAGCAAGUUUACCGCGUGAAAAGAGAUGGUCGUAAGUGUGCCACUUCAGAUUUGAUCUCAAAUAACAAAGAGCCAAUUAAAGUGUUGACAUUGGCUACAAAAGGCAAAGAAGUAAAGCAAUCAAUUGAUAAAAAUCAGAGUGCCAAAUCUGAAGAAAAGAAGUUGAGGGUGCACAAGGCCCAAAAAGAGUUGCCAUUGGUUGAAACAAAAUCACAGUCGAGCUGCUCACUCGGCUUAUCAUAUUGGAAAAAGAAGGAAUUACAAAAUCUUAGUGCACAAGAGCUGAGAAAGAAGAACAUGGCAUGGGUUCCCAAGAAGAUCAAUCAAAACAAAAAUGAUGUGCAUGUUUCUAUUGCAACAAGUGUUACAAAAGUGAAGAAAGAGAAGGAUGGAAGCCAAAAACAGUUAAGCCGAAGGUUUGCAUCACCCCAUCAAAAUAUUCGGUUAGCACAUCAUCCAUAUUUUUCAACCAUACCAUUGAUGCCUUUGCCAUGGAAUUCAUCAUCAGGUAUGAUAAAUUACCCUCCCUGGAUUUAUUUUAGUCCAUGGAAGCGACAUAAUUUUCUGCAUCAUGAGAGGGUAUUACCAAAUCUCUAUACAUUGUAUUAGCUACAUUUUUUCUUGCUAAUCCAAAGGGCCGAAAUAUUUGAUUGCUAUUUCAUUAGUUUAUUUCGGCUAUACAUGAUUUGGUGAAUGAAUUCUACAUGGGCAUUAUGUUGAUGGCCGGUAUUUAUCUAUCGCCCUAAGAAUAUGUCAAAGCAUGGCUGAUGUAGUAUCCUAACAUCGUCCUUAGUUCAAGUAGAGGCCAAAACGAGGUACAUGUUCAUUGAUAUUGCCCUUGUCUUUCUAGUACUAUGGAGAUUAUUUUUGACGGCAAAUUUGUGGCAAUGGCCAAGGUGUUGGUGUUGCUUAUUUAUCUUCAUAUGGAGCUAUUUUGUGAAGCCUCGGGCCGCUUAUAAUAUUUUUGCACAAUCAUCAAAGCCGAAUAUGCAUUGUCAUUCGGAUUGGAGCUUUGCCUUGAUAUAGGUGCUAUACAUAUUGAGGCUUCCGGUGAUUCGUUAUUAGUAGUGCAACAAAUAUCCAAGGGUUAUCAAUGUUUUGACGGAUCACUUAUAGUUUAUCUUUUGGUAUGUCUAGAUGCAAGAUUUACCUUGGGUUGCUUUGAAAUUGUUCAUAUAUCUAGGCAUGACAAUUCGAAAGAGUUGGCACAGCAAGCGUCCGGCUACUAUGUUAAUCAUGGUGUAUUGCAUUUCUAUCAAUAGCCGAUGCUAGGUCUUGUCAACAUAGGUAAGGCUGAAUCGAAGCCCACCGCUUCGGCCACUAAUGAAACUUUUAUACAGGCGAAGUAAGGAUUGAAGAAAGUUCAUUCUUGAUUAUCUGCAAAAUCCUAGCGAAAGGGUGAACAAUAUGGUUCGGAGGAUGGUUUUGAUCUAUGGAACCUUAUCACUGGAUUGUUAUAGAAGCUGAGAAGUUUUCACCCAAGUUUGCAUCAAGAGGUUCAAACAAGCAAUGGCUGAUAUAUACUUGUCGUCCUAAGAACAUGGAAAAUGGCCGAUGGAGUGUUGACAUCGUCCUUAGAACAGGCUAUGCGGAAGUUAUUUUUCGGCACACAAACUUUGCCGAAAAACAGGGGGGCAUGUGUUGACACCAGAUUUUGGCACGGUCAAUAACUUAUUUAAGAUGGCCUCAAAUGGAGAAGUGAUCUUCAUGAAAGAGUUCCGUAUUGUCGAUAUGAACAUCUUUGAAGUUUGGGUCAUCACAGUCCGAUUUCAUCUCGAAGGCCGAAACUAUGCUCAAAGUACUAAGAUCUCAUAUUCAGAGUACAGUUUGGCUGAUUAAGCCCCCAAGACGACCUCAAAUGGAAAAAUUAUCUACACGGAUUGUCUUCGUCUCGUCGAAAUGAUCGAUUUUGAUAUACAAAUCGUUCCAAUCCGAGUUCGUAUGCAAAAGUUAGAGCCAUCGGAAUACAGCCCUGUCAGGAGGCAAAAACUGGCGCGCCCCACCAGACACCAUGUCUGAUGGGUAGUGCGAGGGAUAGCCUGUUUUGCGCGACCGAUUUGACCCUCAAGAUGACCUCUGAUCAAAAAACGUUCAACAUAAAAAUUGUUCGUCUCGUCGAAACGGUCAAGAUUGCUUUUGGGCUCGUUUCCAUCUGAGAUCGUUUACCACCACAAAAAGGACCCGCAAGAUGCAGCCAGUUUAAACCGAACAGUUUUGGAAAGUUCGGACAAAAUCAAUCCGAAUUUGACUAGGGUUUUGGACGUGAAUCCAAGCAUUUUCCUUGCACGGGAAGUCCAGCCGCCUCUUAUAUACCUAAGGGGUGACGGCCGAUUGAACAACACACAAUCGAUCAAUCAAUUUACCAUUUUUUAUCUUUUAUCUUUUCUCCUUAACCCUAGUUCUUCUUCUUCCUCGUUCUUCGUUCGUUCUUCUUCAUUGCAGGGCAGUGAACCUCGAGGCCCUAGGGGCGAUCAGGUCGACCUAGGGUAGCCCAUAGCCACCGC